rnacentral:rRNA from 1 species
UACGUAGGGUGCGAGCGUUGUCCGGAAUUACUGGGCGUAAAGAGCUCGUAGGUGGUUUGUCGCGUUGUUCGUGAAAACUCACAACUCAAUUGUGGGCGUGCGGGCGAUACGGGCAGACUGGAGUACUGCAGGGGAGACUGGAAUUCCUGGUGUAGCAGUGGAAUGCGCAGAUAUCAGGAGGAACACCGGUGGCGAAGGCGGGUCUCUGGGCAGUAACUGACGCUGAGGAGCGAAAGCGUGGGGAGCGAACAGG